GAAUCCCUGCGGUGCACGUUGGAGUACUGAUAAUUGUUGAACCAACAACAUUAUCACGGGAGCCUAUCUUCAUAAGCACUUUGGUGUUUACGAGAGGCCCCCACCUGAUACCUACGGUUCAGACUAUCGCUCCAACGGCACAUGUGCGGGGUUUUU
rnacentral:other from 1 species